CAGUCGCCGCGGUAAUACGUAGGGUGCAAGCGUUAAUCGGAAUUACUGGGCGUAAAGCGUGCGCAGGCGGUUUUGUAAGACAGAGGUGAAAUCCCCAGGCUCAACCUGGGAACUGCCUUUGUGACUGCAAGGCUGGAGUGCGGCAGAGGGGGAUGGAAUUCCGCGUGUAGCAGUGAAAUGCGUAGAUAUGCGGAGGAACACCGAUGGCGAAGGCAAUCCCCUGGGCCUGCACUGACGCUCAUGCACGAAAGCGUGGGGAGCAAACAGGAUUAGAUACCCGUGUAGUCCCUGUCUCUUAUAC
rnacentral:rRNA from 1 species